CUGGGCAGCAUCCGGGCCCGCGGAUUCCUGCAAGGUCGCGAGGACCAGAAGUGCUGCCGCCAGGACAUGGUCCCAGGAGAGAGCUCCCACGCAGAAUAUUAGAAUUACAGCCCCGGCCAUUGAGGUGGAUGAAAGCUGAGCCUUGCUGCGCCAACUUGAGUCUCGUUCACCCUGAGCAGUCACAGAUGGGUCUUGUCUUUUCAGAUGCUCCACGAGGCCAUUGUCACAAUUCCAAGAGCCUGCUGGAUAACCCUGUGAGUGUGUCCAGAAACCUCAAAAUCAUUUUUGGAGACACUGCAGCAGAUUUGGUUUUUCUCAGAGCACUUCUGCAGCUGCUGAAUGCUUGCAGGCACAGGGGUCUCCUGCUUUUCAGACUUUUCCACUACUCCCUUUUCUAAUUACGUGCCAGGUGAAGGGUACAGAGAACAUCUUUGUUCUGAGUAGACUUUUUUGUGACUGUGGUUGAUAAAGCAGACAGACAGAAGAGGUUCCUGUUUCCCUCCUCGGUAAACGUGUGGCCAGGCAUGGUAAUGGUCUGAGGCUGAUGGGAACAGAAAGGUCAAAUGGAUGAAAAAGCGUCGGCUUUAAAAUACGUGUACAACUAGAGGCGGUGACCAAGCUGAGGACUGUGGCCUAGGAUAAUGACCGCAGGCUCUGUUCAUCCCUG
rnacentral:lncRNA from 1 species